AAAUUAAACAAUCCUAUAGUAUCUCACAUGUAAAGUUGAUGAUUUAAU
rnacentral:guide_RNA from 1 species